CAGAGCCUACCGAAUCCUGAUGAACUCCGAAUGCCGGUGGCUAUAUGCGGCAGUGAGGCCUGGGGUGCUAAGGUCCCCGGCCGAGAGGGAAAGAACCCAGACCAACAGCUAAGGUCCCUAAAUCUAGAUUAAGUUGAACAAAGGAGGUCCAGUUGCUUUGACAGCCAGGAGGUUGGCUUGGAAGCAGCCAUUCCUUUAAAGAGUGCGUAACAGCUCAC
rnacentral:rRNA from 1 species